UACUGCUUGAACUGGGUUUUGUUUCUCGUUACUACGUGUCCAUUUCUAGUAAAACAGAUUAAAGAAAUGUAUAGUUACUUACUCAAGACUUGCAUAUUAUGGAAAAUCUUUUUGGGUUUGAGAAUCCCUUUAUCUUCACCUGCACAGCUUCCUUUAUUUCCUUAUGUUUUUGGAAUAAACUGAUGUGUACAGAGGAUUCGACCCUAUUUUCUUGGUUCAUGAAAUCAACUGAUCUUGGUUCAUGAAAUCAACUCUAUUUUCUCCUUUAUAGAUCUUGGCUCAGCAUUUUGGGGAAUGGUUUUAGUGCUUGCGUCCACCAAGCUCCUUACAGCAAGAAUUGCAGCAGGAUGUUUAGUGGCCACUCUAAUUGUUGUUCUUUUUAUGGCUAAAAAUGGGAGUGACAAUUGAUUCCUUUAAGAGCGUCUCAAACUGAUCGUGUCAAUAUAAUUAGAUUUAUAAUUAAUGGCAGAGGAUUUAUACAUUUUAAACUAAGAGCAAAGAAGCAUCUGUCUCCUUUGCAAAAGGAGGGAGACGUUUCUUAGAGUGAGCUAGUUGAUGUUGGAUCCUUUAAAUGAUAAUGGUCUUGAUAUGCAUCGUUCUGAAUCGAAGUUCAGUACCUUUCUUACUCAAAAUGUGGCAUCUCUUUUGUGCAGUGGACACUCCGUGGUCUUUGUAUAGGUAAGAUCAUUCACCCUGCAAGGUUUUUCUGCAAUAAUAAUAGCUCGGUUUGUUGAUCUUGUCCUGAGGCUGAGGAGCUGGAUACUUGACAUAAGUCAAGGGACUCCAUUUAUACAAUGUUGAAGAGCAUUCGUUUACCCUUACUUUGGUUGGCUCCUUGCUAGUUAUGGGACUGUGAAUUACUAGUAUGGUACAUUUGCCAAAUCAUUUAUGCAAGGUGGAUUACUGCAACACAAUUUACAAUACAAACAUGUUUGGUUGCAGCAGGAGGAGAAUCAGAGAACUAUAAUGCCCAAUUAUUACUCUUGGUUCUUUUCACUUGAGCAUGUAUUUCCUCACUGUGAGAGUCUCACAUACCAAAAGGAACUCAGUAUCGUACCUUAUGAAUUGUUGUUGCACAUAUCAGUUUCAUAUUGUUCAUAGAACUAAUAGCUUUCUUGUUUUGAAUAUUUUGUUAAAAA